UUGAUGGAGGGUUUGAUCCUGGCUCAGGACGAACGCUGGCGGCGUGCUUAACACAUGCAAGUCGAACGGUAAGGCUCCAGCUUGCUGGGGUACACGAGUGGCGAACGGGUGAGUAACACGUGGGUGACCUGCCCUGCACUUCGGGAUAAGCCUGGGAAACUGGGUCUAAUACCGGAUAGGACCGCACCGUGAGGGUGUGGUGGAAAGUUUUUUCGGUGUGGGAUGGGCCCGCGGCCUAUCAGCUUGUUGGUGGGGUAAUGGCCUACCAAGGCGGCGACGGGUAGCCGGCCUGAGAGGGUGGACGGCCACAUUGGGACUGAGACACGGCCCAGACUCCUACGGGAGGCAGCAGUGGGGAAUAUUGCACAAUGGGCGGAAGCCUGAUGCAGCGACGCCGCGUGGGGGAUGACGGCCUUCGGGUUGUAAACUCCUUUCACCAUCGACGAAGGGUUUCUGACGGUAGAUGGAGAAGAAGCACCGGCUAACUACGUGCCAGCAGCCGCGGUAAUACGUAGGGUGCGAGCGUUGUCCGGAAUUACUGGGCGUAAAGAGCUCGUAGGUGGUUUGUCGCGUCGUCUGUGAAAUUCCGGGGCUUAACUCCGGGCGUGCAGGCGAUACGGGCAUAACUUGAGUACUGUAGGGGAGACUGGAAUUCCUGGUGUAGCGGUGAAAUGCGCAGAUAUCAGGAGGAACACCGGUGGCGAAGGCGGGUCUCUGGGCAGUAACUGACGCUGAGGAGCGAAAGCAUGGGGAGCGAACAGGAUUAGAUACCCUGGUAGUCCAUGCCGUAAACGGUGGGCGCUAGGUGUGGGUUUCCUUCCACGGGAUCAGUGCCGUAGCUAACGCAUUAAGCGCCCCGCCUGGGGAGUACGGCCGCAAGGCUAAAACUCAAAGGAAUUGACGGGGGCCCGCACAAGCGGCGGAGCAUGUGGAUUAAUUCGAUGCAACGCGAAGAACCUUACCUGGGCUUGACAUAUACAGGAUCGCGCCAGAGAUGGUGUUUCCCUUGUGGCUUGUAUACAGGUGG
rnacentral:rRNA from 1 species